GGCAAAAGCACAGUAAACGACACUGCACACAGUGUGCGUGAGUGUGUUGUGCAAGUAAACAAAAAGUUUCAAAAACCGAUUCAGUAGUAGCUCUUUUUAGCCCUCUUUUGUACUCUCUCAUCUUUUUCCUCACCGUCUGCAACAUCUUUUUUCUCUCUCUCUGAUACACUAACAAUGGCGGAAGAGUACUCUGUGGAUCCGGCGCAGUUACUGGAAGCAGCUACUGACUUUGCGUAUCAUCCUGGCGCUCUUUCCGAUGCUUCAGCUCAAGACUUUCUUAAUCGAUUUCCUCUUCCAGCCAUUAUCAAUGCUUUGCAAACAAAAGCAGAUUACCCUGGCCUAGAAAGUGCUUUGGUUGAUUGUUUAGAGAAGCUUUUCAAAACAAGAUAUGGAGCAUCACUCAUUCCACACUACAUGCCAUUUGUUAUUGUCGGUCUCGGUGCAGAGUCUCAGAAAGUCAGACGCUUAGCAUGCCAAACUGUAUCCUGCCUGUUGGAGAAUAUUGAUGAAGCACUUGUUAUACAACUAAUUCAUGAGUAUGGAGUUUAUCAACUUUUGCUUAAUUGCCUCAUAAGUGGGGAUGCGGAAGUUGCUGCUGCAUCUACAGAUGCAAUUAGGAAACUGGCUAGCCAUUCGAAAGGCAUUGAUAUCAUAUUUCCUGAAAGCGGCAAUGAAGCGACAAACCUCUUGAACUUCGCAACCAACUGUGCACCUCUGGGACGAGUUCGUGUUUUAGCUUUGAUAGUGAAGUUAUUCUCCAUUUCCACUUCUGUGGCAUCAAGAGUCUACAGCUCAAAUCUUCUUAGCUUGUUGGAGACAGAAAUCAGCAAUUCAGAUGAUACAUUAGUCACUUCGAGCAGCUUGGAACUCCUAUAUGAGUUGGCUGAUGUUGAGCACAGCACUGAGUUCUUGUCAAGGACUAAGUUUCUCCAAAUUCUUACUUCUAUUAUUAGUGAUGCUUCUGCUGAAUCGAUUUUGCGAUCAAGAGCAAUGAUGAUAACUGGAAGGCUGAUGGCUAGGGAGAAUGCCUUUGUCUUUAUUGAUGAAUCUGGUUGUAGAAAUCUUAUUUCUGCCAUUAAUGGAAGAUUCAAUUUAUUAGAAAAUCAAAAUGCAGAUGAAUGUGAAUGUGCUCUUGAAGCGCUCGGACAAAUUGGGUUGUCCAGCAAAGGUGCAGCAUUGCUUCUCUCAGGUGCACAGCCUGCAGAAAGACAUGUGAUUUAUGCAGCUUUUGAUCAGCAACAGCAUGGUAAACAGCUGGCAGCAUUGCAUGCUCUUGCAAACAUUGUUGGAGAAACUCGCGCCGAAAAGGAUGUAUUGCUGGAUGGUGAUGCAGAGCAGAAUCUUCGGCGUCUGAUCUAUGAAGCAGCAUCCAAGACUUCAAAGCUGACACCUUCAGGUCUCCUCUUAUCAGUUCUUCAACAGGAUU
rnacentral:misc_RNA from 1 species